AUUGAACGCUGGCGGCAGGCCUAACACAUGCAAGUCGAGCGGAUGAAGGGAGCUUGCUCCUGGAUUCAGCGGCGGACGGGUGAGUAAUGCCUAGGAAUCUGCCUGGUAGUGGGGGAUAACGUCCGGAAACGGGCGCUAAUACCGCAUACGUCCUGAGGGAGAAAGUGGGGGAUCUUCGGACCUCACGCUAUCAGAUGAGCCUAGGUCGGAUUAGCUAGUUGGUGGGGUAAAGGCCUACCAAGGCGACGAUCCGUAACUGGUCUGAGAGGAUGAUCAGUCACACUGGAACUGAGACACGGUCCAGACUCCUACGGGAGGCAGCAGUGGGGAAUAUUGGACAAUGGGCGAAAGCCUGAUCCAGCCAUGCCGCGUGUGUGAAGAAGGUCUUCGGAUUGUAAAGCACUUUAAGUUGGGAGGAAGGGCAGUAAGUUAAUACCUUGCUGUUUUGACGUUACCAACAGAAUAAGCACCGGCUAACUUCGUGCCAGCAGCCGCGGUAAUACGAAGGGUGCAAGCGUUAAUCGGAAUUACUGGGCGUAAAGCGCGCGUAGGUGGUUCAGCAAGUUGGAUGUGAAAUCCCCGGGCUCAACCUGGGAACUGCAUCCAAAACUACUGAGCUAGAGUACGGUAGAGGGUGGUGGAAUUUCCUGUGUAGCGGUGAAAUGCGUAGAUAUAGGAAGGAACACCAGUGGCGAAGGCGACCACCUGGACUGAUACUGACACUGAGGUGCGAAAGCGUGGGGAGCAAACAGGAUUAGAUACCCUGGUAGUCCACGCCGUAAACGAUGUCGACUAGCCGUUGGGGUCCUUGAGAUCUUAGUGGCGCAGCUAACGCGAUAAGUCGACCGCCUGGGGAGUACGGCCGCAGGGUA
rnacentral:rRNA from 1 species